UACGGGGGGGGCAAGCGUUGUUCGGAAUUACUGGGCGUAAAGGGCUCGUAGGCGGCCCCUCUCAGUCGGAUGUGAAAUCCCCAGGCUUAACCUGGGAACGGCAUCCGAUACUGGAGGGCUUGAAUUCGGGAGAGGGAUGCAGAAUUCCAGGUGUAGCGGUGAAAUGCGUAGAUAUCUGGAGGAAUACCGGUGGCGAAGGCGGCAUCCUGGACCGAGAUUGACGCUGAGGAGCGAAAGCUAAGGGGGAGCAAACGGGG
rnacentral:rRNA from 1 species